CACGGUGGAAGAUUUCAGGAGAGACUCGCACAAAGCCGAGCUGCCAGUAAACAGGCGUGCGGAGGGACGUAGCGUGUUGUGCUGCUAUUAACAAUGCAGCUCCUCGACACCGUCGCUGCUGCAGCCUUUCACAGUAAUUCCCCGUCUUGUCGGAGCCUUAUCGCCUCGGAAAUGCUUCAUUAACAUAUGCAAAUGACGGCGUCGGCGAUUAGUUAAAUUUCAGUUGUCUUCCGUCAUUCUCCCGUAGAUGCAGUUCGCUCUGAAGUCACCGCUUAUCUCUGCGUUUCUUCUGUCACGUUGCAUUGGCUCACUGUAAACCGAUGAGGCUCUAAUACCACUUUAAAUCCUAUUGAGGCUCAGAACGAAAGCGGCUGCAGAUCUCUUCUCACCAGCUCCAACAAUAACAGCAAAACAAUACGGUUAUGAUUGACUAUUGCUACUUAACAUUAACCCGAUUACGGCAAAUUGAAUUCCAGGAACCUAAUCUCCACGUCUGUAAUAAGUGUUUGUCCCGUGUCAUUUAAAUCAUUCAGGAUUUCCUGUAAUUCCAGGGAAGAAGAAACGAAAGCAGACAUGGGGACAUACGGGAAGUCAUUGUGCUGAAGCGGGGGAUUAUAUUUUCCUGGGGGGCUGUGGUUGGUCCUGUCCACUGAGACUCAUUAAGAAUGGCCUUGACAUUAAGGGCCCUCUCUCUUUCAACCUGUUUGCCGCCACGAUGCUGAGAUCAAACGCAGAGCCAUAGGAGCUGACGUUUCAGCCUUGACGUCCAAAGGCUGUGGUCGGACCCUGGGCUCGUGCCUCUCCUCCAGCUGCCGUGGCUAUGUGUGAUUGAUUCCAGUGGUGCUGGCUGAUCUGCUCACGUGGAGACUCUCGUACAGUAGCGAAAGACUUGGACAUGAAUGAUGGACCGCGUGCUGCUCGAAGAACGACGCACACAAUCCGUACAACCACCGCAUCGAUCCAGCUACAAAUGCUGCUCCUACGCGUCAGGACACUGCUGCACGUCCUCCACAUUCACCUGCAAACCUCUGUCUCGCUCUCAUUUACGAAUCAAUAUUUAGUUUUUUUCCCCCGUGACGUUUUAUAGUGUUUCUCACCUAAUUGUAGAAACUAGUAAAGACGUAUUUCUACCCCAGAGAAUAAAGCAUCAGUCACAUAAACAUUUCUGGGAAGCAUAAAUUAUCCUAAAUGGCAACAUUAGCCUGAUGGCCAAAUAACAUUAGUGCGAUGCUCAGUGCACUGGGAAAAGCUUUAUGAGUCCAGCGUUUCCCGUGUUCACUGUUCACAAAAACAAGCUCAUGAGCUAAUUUAACAUCUAAAUUAAGCUUAAGCAUCUUUUAAACACAUUCCAGCCAAAGAAGAUAUGAUUUAAUGUGUUUGCAUCCACUGCUGUCAGUGCAGUCAGGAAAACAUUGCAGAAGAGCAGGAUGUAAUGGGAUGAGGCCAAUUAAGUGUCAGUCAAAGCCCAAAGAACAAUAACACAACUAGACAGUGUGAAAGAAAUGAGAUACUGUAUGUGUGUUUUAGUUUAUUAGUCUGCGUCGCUUCCCUCCAGUAAAGUCCAUAUGUUCAUCCUGCAUCUAUUCACUCUAUCGAUUAUCAGUAGUUACAGCGUAUGUUCAUUCCUCCUCAUCGUCUCCUCCCACAGUAACACUGGUAAAGAUGUGGUGUUAAUGUUGUGCAGCAGAAGCUCCCAGUCCUAUUUAUCCACUGCAUCAAUUAGAGACACUGCCUCAAAGGUGAACUGGGCUCACAGCUUUUAGAUUUGACACUAAAGUAAAGACUCCAUUAUGAGGAGCUCGUCUUCCUGACUAUAGUUACACUGUCUGAACUAUCAGACAACAAAAGCAAAGUAAAAUAUUCAAAACUGCAGAGACCAGUGACCUUGAAUCACUGCGGCACAAUACAGCAGCUCUCUUACAUUUUCCAAUCUAAUAAUGUUUUUGAGAGAAGACGCUCCGCUUUUCUUCAUUUCACACAUUUGAGAGGAAACUGGGUCAUUUUCAUCAUUUGAAUCUCAUGAAGUAACCAGGCCAGCAGUCUGCCAGGUACAUGUAGGUCAGAGUCCGUCCGGGCUCCCGUGUGGUUUCUGACCGGAGCUUCCUCUUCACUGUCACUCCUGAUUAAUUUUAUAAUCCCCGUGUGCUAAUUCUCCAAGUAGUGCAGCAUGAUAAUUACUAAUUGGGUAAA